UACGGAGGAUGCGAGCGUUAUCCGGAUUUAUUGGGUUUAAAGGGUGCGUAGGCGGCCUUGUAAGUCAGCGGUGAAAUUUUGCAGCUUAACUGUAAAAGUGCCGUUGAUACUGUGAGGCUAGGAUUUGGUUGCUGUGGGUGGAAUGCGUGGUGUAGCGGUGAAAUGCUUAGAGAUCACACAGAAUAUCGAUUGCGAAGGCAGCUCACAAAGCCAAGAUUGACGCUGAGGCACGAAAGUGUGGGGGAUCAAACAGGA
rnacentral:rRNA from 1 species